rnacentral:rRNA from 1 species
GACGAACGCUGGCGGCGUGCCUAAUACAUGCAAGUCGAACGCACAGUUUAUACCGUAGCUUGCUACACCAUAGACUGUGAGUUGCGAACGGGUGAGUAACGCGUAGGUAACCUGCCUGGUAGCGGGGGAUAACUAUUGGAAACGAUAGCUAAUACCGCAUAAUAUUAAUUAUUGCAUGAUAAUUAAUUGAAAGGUGCAAUUGCACCACUACCAGAUGGACCUGCGUUGUAUUAGCUAGUAGGUGAGGUAACGGCUCACCUAGGCGACGAUACAUAGCCGACCUGAGAGGGUGAUCGGCCACACUGGGACUGGGACACGGCCCAGACUCCUACGGGAGGCAGCAGUAGGGAAUCUUCGGCAAUGGACGAAAGUCUGACCGAGCAACGCCGCGUGAGUGAAGAAGGUUGUCGGAUCGUAAAGCUCUGUUGUAAGAGAAGAACGGGUGUGAGAGUGGAAAGUUCACACUGUGACGGUAGCUUACCAGAAAGGGACGGCUAACUACGUG